rnacentral:lncRNA from 1 species
ACAACAUGGCGGGAGGGAGAAAGCGUCUCAGGGGUGAGGCACUCCAGCGCUUUGCUGGGCGGACACAUGAAGCUUCCUUUCUCCCGCAGCUCUGUAGAAAAAGGCUCAACCGAUCCCAACCAUUCGAAGGAAUCCGUUGGAUGAGUGGGAGGCCUUGCGUUUAUUAGACUCCCUCCAGUGUAGUCGGAACAAGUGUUCGUUUUACUUUCUUCAGUAUUUGAGAUGAGAUAAUCUCCUUCCUGACUUAAAUUUUGUGCGUGCGUGCGAGAGAAACAUCUGAAUCGAGAGGGACUUAAUGAGAAAAGCUUGGUCCCCUCCUUACCAACUGUAGCACCUUGAAGCCCUGCAAGUUUUCCAACAUACAAGGAGGAGAUCAAAUCCACUUGCCUUAUUAAAGAUGAAAACCAGCUGUUGAUUGUGAGAAAAUGCAUCCAGGUUCAUAAAUCCGGACUCCAAGUGUAGUGACCAAAGUGGAGGUGCUGUGGAGUGUAAUCAUCAGAAGACCAGAUGGGCCUCUUAUAUUCUCAUCUGCAUGAAACCCCCCCCCCCUUACUUCUAGCCUUACCACAUUGAGGAUUUUAUAUAGUCAUUCAUUUGUUUAGACAGGCUCUCACAAUACAGCCUAGGUUGUCCAAAGCUCACUAUAUAUCCCAGCUAACAGUGAACUACUCACACUACCCCUGCCUCAGCCUUCUGGGUGCUAGGAUUAGAGCCAUUAAGCCACAACCCAUGACAACUUCAAAUAAUUUUUCCAAAUCCAUUUCCUCAUCUCUGAGGUGAGGGGCUGAUGCUAAAGCAUAAAUCAUAAGGUGAGUUUAGAAAAGGAGAUGGCGAGACCCAUAGCAAAUGCUAUCAAAAGGUGGACAGCAUCCACCAUGGGAGUUUGGGAGUAAACUGAUUUCAUGGGUCACAGAUGAUGAAGAGGAUAAUGGAGAAUUUUUGUUGUGGGAGGAAGUCAUGUGGUUACAUGUGGAAGCCAUGAACAGGUGUACAGGGUACCAAUACAAAAUAUUUCCUGUUGUGGAUCAUGA